GUUUUUACCUCUGUUCACUCCCUUCCUAAGGAAACAGACCAGACUGGCUAAGACAGAGCCUCAGGCACUGCUGUGCAGCUACGUGAAGGCUGGCCUUUGUGAGGACAUUCAGGUAGCAGAGCUCAGCAGGACGGCAUGCUGCAGAGAGGCCUCAGAUGGCUGGUGGGGUGCAGACAUGCAGCACCCCUUCUCCGCGCCCUGGCUGGCCAUCAGGCCCCAGCCUGGACACCAGUCCAGCCCAUCUCCGUGUCAAGCAGCAAACACACCCAGUCUGACAAAAAGGAUUAUUCCCUCCCGAACACCAGCUGGAGCCCCCGCAUGGUGGCGCUGUAUAAUGAACUCAUGGAGAAGACUGCGGAUGGGUUGUGGACAAGAAUUCCAGGUUAUUGGCGUUCUGUGCACAUACUAAAAGAAGCCAGCCUUGCUAGGAUUGCUGAAGUGGUCCCCGUGCAAACGACAGAAGAUGGCAGCCGCCUAUUUCUCAGGAUCGCGGAGGUGCAGGGACUCGAGGGGCUGGGCUUUGAGCAUGCCAUCUUCCACAACGACUCAGAGAAGAAGUGCGUCUGCUUGUUCCAGCCUGGGCCCCUCCUGGAGGGACUGCCAGGGAUUAUCCACGGUGGUGCACUGGGGACCAUGAUAGACACCACACUUUUCAUGACAGCGUACCUCAGUGCCAAUGCAGUCUUUACAGGGACAAUGACCAUUACCUUCAAGAGGCUCUGGAGGACUCACAGGGAGAGAAGGACACAGCCUAUUCUCUCCGAGGCUGGCAGGGUGGAAACGCUUGGGCAGGAGCUGAUGCUGCAGUCCCUGGAGGAGAAUGUGUGGACCCCACUCUGCAUGGACAAGGCCACUUCCUAAAGACAUGCAUGCACCCCACCCUAAGAAACCAGUCCAGAAGCCAUUCUCACCCUCUGGUCUUUCAGCCCCAUCACCCUGGGCUCUGUGGUGAGACUUGAGGCCAGGAUCACUGGCACAGAAGGAAGAAAGGUGUUUCUCUCAUGUGAAGCCCAAAGCAGUGACAAGUCCACCCUCUAUGCUGAAGCUUCUGCCAUCUUCUUCCAGAUGAAGUGACACAGCUGCCAGACACUACAAGGCUUAUCUUCUCCUGCCCUUCACAAGCCAAAAUCUCCACUAGAGAAUAUUCUGUCACUCCGUUCACCUCCUUCUCUGGUGGCCAAAACUCCCCUACGUGGCAGACCUUGCUGUCAAUAAAGGUGAAA